rnacentral:rRNA from 1 species
GGGCGUUAAGUUGCAGGGUAUAGACCCGAAACCCGGUGAUCUAGCCAUGGGCAGGUUGAAGGUUGGGUAACACUAACUGGAGGACCGAACCGACUAAUGUUGAAAAAUUAGCGGAUGACCUGUGGCUGGGGGUGAAAGGCCAAUCAAACCGGGAGAUAGCUGGUUCUCCCCGAAAGCUAUUUAGGUAGCGCCUCGUGAAUUCAUCUCCGGGGGUAGAGCACUGUUUCGGCUAGGGGGCCAUCCCGGCUUACCAACCCGAUGCAAACUGCGAAUACCGGAGAAUGUUAUCACGGGAGACACACGGCGGGUGCUAACGUCCGUCGUGAAGAGGGAAACAACCCAGACCGCCAGCUAAGGUCCCAAAGUCAUGGUUAAGUGGGAAACGAUGUGGGAAGGCCCAGACAGCCAGGAUGUUGGCUUAGAAGCAGCCAUCAUUUAAAGAAAGCGUAAUAGCUCACUGGUCGAGUCGGCCUGCGCGGAAGAUGUAACGGGGCUAAACCAUGCACCGAAGCUGCGGCAGCGACGCUGAUGCGUUGUUGGGUAGGGGAGCGUUCUGUAAGCCUGCGAAGGUGGCCUGUGAGGGUUGC